rnacentral:rRNA from 1 species
UAUGAACGCUGGCGGCGUGCCUAAUACAUGCAAGUCGAGCGAACAGACGAGGAGCUUGCUCCUCUGACGUUAGCUGCGGACGGGUGAGUAACACGUGGAUAACCUACCUAUAAGACUGGGAUAACUUCGGGAAACCGGAGCUAAUACCGGAUAAUAUAUUGAACCGCAUGGUUCAAUAGUGAAAGACGGUUUUGCUGUCACUUAUAGAUGGAUCCGCGCCGCAUUAGCUAGUUGGUAAGGUAACGGCUUACCAAGGCGACGAUGCGUAGCCGACCUGAGAGGGUGAUGGGACACAGGGGAACUGAGACACGGUACAGACCCAUACGGGAGGCAGGAGGAGGGAAUCUUGCGAAAUGGGCGAAAGCCUGACGGAGCAACGGCGCGUGAGUGAAGAAGGUCUGCGGAGCGUAAAACUCUGUUAUGAGGGGAGAACAAAUGUGUAAGUAACGAUGAAAGUCUUGACGGUACCUAAUAAGAAAGCCACGGCUACUACGUG